GUCCGCAAGUAUCAAACUCCAAACAAAUCGCUUUACUAAACAAAUCGGCAAUCUGUGCACGAAUUAACAAACAUAAUGCUAAUUUAAUAAACGAAAACAUUUUUCUGGCUUAACCAAAGCAUGAUAAUUGAGCUUCCACAUUUUUACACGAAAAAUUCAUCAGUAAAAUAACUCGAAAUCUCCAAGGAUUAUAUUUUAAUUUACGAUGUUCAGUAUUUAACCCCCCUCUCACCUUUGAACCAUCCCUCAAAUGGUCGUGAUUAAUUAUAAUUAAUGCUUUUUGAAUUAAUGAAAUAAUGCGACUGCCUGAUAAUGUCAGGUCGGCAGAAAUAAUAUUUAUUGGUCUUCUGGUCCUUUUAUCUAAGAAGCUCAGUUUUCAUUGAUAUCGAGAAAUUCGGAGUAUUGAUUUUAUCGUUUUUUAGAUAAAUGUCAUCUUUAACAAUAAUUUAUUUCUUCCUUUUAAACCUAUAGUCUCGUGUAAAAUACUACCAUCGCUAGAAAUAACUAUUGAUAAACCUAUUCGGACCCAAGAUUACUUGAAUUAAUAGAAAAUUUAACAUUGUCAGUCAUGAGACGUCAAUUUUCUAAAUAGAAAAAAUCAAGAAAAGAACGCUAACACAAAAACCUUACUUACUUUCAAACUACUACUUAGUCCAAUUACAAAUUACAAUAAAAACACAACCUAAAACCAACACCAAUAAAACACAAUUCCCAAAAACAAAUUUAACAUGAUUUCUCUUGUUCACAGCUCCACCGAACGCAGUCGAGAUCGCAAACCACCCUCCAAGCUCGAAGUUGGAAGUCAAGGAAGGCGAGGACGUGUCUCUCGAGUGUCUCGUGAAGAAUGCCAAGCCAGCAGCCAAGAUCGUAUGGUUCAGAGGGAACGUCGAGCUCAAAGGAGACAAAGUUUCCAAAGAAGAGAUCCGUGAGGUGGAGAAUGCGAAUGGAAACCCGAAGUCUGUCCGGUACACCACCAUAUCGAGGGUCAAUUUCAAGGCGACGGCUGAUGACGAUUACGCUGAUUUUACCUGUGAAGCGAGACACGAGGCGUUGCAGAGAGACAGUCCUAUGAGGAGUACAGUCCAGCUCAGUGUGUUAUAUCCACCAGGAGCACCCUACAUCGAGGGUUACGCUGAAGGGGAGACAGUACGCCGCGGACAGAGCUUGGAGCUGGUCUGCAGGAGUCGCGGUGGAAACCCACCAGCUCAGCUCAUCUGGUACAAGAAUGGGGAGCAAAUUAGAAUGGCUUAUCGGUAAGUCUUUUACACAGGUAUAUUUGGUGAUAGAAACAAAGCUUAAAAUAUUAUGGUGAGGUAAAACUACAAGCUAGCUCCCGAAGCAAGAUUUUUGCAGUUGAGGAAGCAAACAUUACAAUACACGGCGUUACGCGGCGUUUAUUUGCCAUACUGCGUGGUGUCCCCACUGUCGUGCUUCGAUCCUCGCGUAGGACAAGAAUUUGUGUGAUC